rnacentral:lncRNA from 1 species
GGAAAGUGAGAGGAAGGGGUCAAGAAAGAAGGGCAGAACUCGUGGAUGUGGCCCAUACAGAGAACAUAGCGCUGAUGCAAGUGUGAAGCCUCCCCAUGAGGGCAGCCGACAACGAUCCUGCAGUGCCCCAAACCUCCGCAGAUCCCCUAGACACAGCCCAGCAGUGCCUGGAGUGCCAAGCCUUGUGGAGAUGGAAAAUGAAGACUGCUGCUUCACUACUGAACCAGGAGCAGCUCCUGGUCAGUCCUACCUCUGCAUUCCCUUCCAUAAGGAGACCCACACUGCUGCUGCCGCUGCUGAUGGUGAUGGAGAUGAGUACUGCCUCAGCAGUCAGGUGCCAGGAACACCACCAUGCAGGAAG